rnacentral:misc_RNA from 1 species
AGCUUGCCAUUGGCCACGCAGUUGAGGGCCACUCCGCCGGCGAGGCACAGAUACCUCGCGCCCGUGAGUUUUUUGGCUGUGCGCGCCAUGCGGAGAACGAUUUCUUCAGUCACCAUCUGGAUGGAGGCAGCGAGAUCCAUUUCGCGUUCGGUAAUCGCUUGU